rnacentral:rRNA from 1 species
GAUGAACGCUGGCGGCGUGCCUAAUACAUGCAAGUCGAGCGAACGGACGAGAAGCUUGCUUCUCUGAUGUUAGCGGCGGACGGGUGAGUAACACGUGGAUAACCUACCUAUAAGACUGGGAUAACUUCGGGAAACCGGAGCUAAUACCGGAUAAUAUUUUGAACCGCAUGGUUCAAAAGUGAAAGACGGUCUUGCUGUCACUUAUAGAUGGAUCCGCGCUGCAUUAGCUAGUUGGUAAGGUAACGGCUUACCAAGGCAACGAUGCAUAGCCGACCUGAGAGGGUGGUCUGCCACACUGGAACUGAGACACGGUCCAGACUCCUACGGGAGGCAGCAGUAGGGAAUCUUCCGCGAUGGGCGAAAGCCUGACGGAGCAACGCCGCGUGAGUGAUGAAGGUCCUCGGAUCGUAAAACUCUGUUAUUAGGGAAGAACAUAUGUGUAAGUAACUGUGCACAUCUUGACGGUACCUAAUCAGAAAGCCACGGCUAACUACGUG